AUUUGAAAUUCGGCCUCGGCCCGAGUUGUAAUUUGUAGAGGAAGCUUUUGGCGCGGCACCUACUGAGUCCCCUGGAACGGGGCGCCAUAGAGGGUGAGAGCCCCGUAUAGUAGGACGCCUAGCCUGUGUAAAGCUCCUUCGACGAGUCGAGUAGUUUGGGAAUGCUGCUCUAAAUGGGAGGUAAAUUUCUUCUAAAGCUAAAUAUUGGCCAGAGACCGAUAGCGCACAAGUAGAGUGAUCGAAAGAUGAAAAGCACUUUGAAAAGAGGGUUAAACAGCACGUGAAAUUGUUGAAAGGGAAGCGCUUGUGACCAGACUUGCGCCGGGCGGAUCAUCCGGUGUUCUCACCGGUGUACUCCGCCCGGCUCAGGCCAGCAUCGGUUCUCGUGGGGGGAUAAAGGCUCUGGGAACCGUGGCUCCUCCGGGAGUGUUAUAGCCCAGGG
rnacentral:rRNA from 1 species